CUGGAGCCGCUCCCAGCUCCGGGGCCGCUGCUUUGUUCGCUGAAAGACCCACCGAGCGCGGCCGCUGCACUUUAAAGUCGAUUUGGCGGCCGAGCGGCUUUUGGCCCUUUUGACCAUUCAUUGUGCGGGGCAGGAAGCGAGGCGGAGCUCGGUGCCAUCACACCCCAAAGUUAGUAAUGAACCUCAUCCCCCGGGCAAUCUGUUUCUGGGCUUACUCGAGGGCGGGCUGCUGCCAGGGCACAGACAAGGUAAGACACAGCGCAGCGCUGGCGGUGGCGGCACCCAGCGGUGCCCGGAUUCUUUGACCCUUAAGAUCAGUAAAAUGGAGCUUUCCCUCAAUUCAAUCCCAUAGAACAACACCGUUAAACGCAUUGUUAUUCCAUUUAAACAUGAAAUUAAUAGGAAACCGUUAUUUCUCCCCUAGUGAAACACCAAAAAUCAUGACAAAGGUGUAUUUUCCUUCAACUGAGAACCUUCAAAUUGUAGGUGAACGGGGGUCCUCCUCAUUUCAAACACAAUUACUGUAAAGGAGUUUUUCUCCUCCUUUUUAAAUCUCUUUUGUUCUAGUAACACCCCUUUCUUUUUCUUUUAGUGAGGAGGCGCACUGGGGAGUGACUGGUGUCACUUCUCCCGCCUCACUGGUCGCACCUGGCGCUGCUGCACGCUGCCGAGUGCUGCGGAGUUUCCUCUCAGUUACCUCAGACUGAUAGCACUGUAGAUUUAAUUAGCACACACAGCUUGAUAACCAAGAUAGCUUUGCAGGUGCAAACAGAGCUGUGAAGAUUACAAGAAGAUUGGAUCAAGUCAUGCUGAUAAGAGAAAGUAAAUAGAAGUGUAAAGUUUAACUAAACGACUGUAAUAAAAACUUUCUAGCCUUCCCAAAAUGGUCCAUACGCACAUGUAGCUCCCUGUACAUUUGCAUUCUGAUCUCCAGUCAGUGUCCCCGUCUCUCUCUCAAUCGUCGCUCAUCGAUGCUCCCGUGUCAGCAGAAGGACCGGCCCCCCUGGCGGCGAUGGGCGAGCCCCGGAACUGAUCCUGACGGUGACAGAACCGCGUCUGGGCCACGAUCACCUGUCCUGCUGCGCCCUGACAGGUGAGCAUCUUAUUAUGGAUCAAUCCCACACUGGAAAAGAGUCUUCAUACCCUACUGCUCUUUGCAUCACCCAAAGAGUUCAGAGGCUGCUGCCCAAUGAGCUCCUUAUCAGCCCCUUGUUCAUUUGUAAAAACAUCAAUAAAUUGCAGCGAGCAUUG